rnacentral:rRNA from 1 species
UACGUAGGGAGCGAGCGUUGUCCGGAAUCACUGGGCAUAAAGCGUACGUAGGCGGCGUCGUAAGUGUCGGAUGAAAUCCCACGGCUUACCCGUGGAACGGUCCGGCAUACUGCGGUGCUAGAGGAUGGUAGAGGAGAGCGGAACUCUUGGUGUAGCGGUGAAAUGCGUAGAUAUCAAGAGGAACACCUGAGGUGAAGACGGGUUGCUGGGCUGACACUGACGCUGAGGCGCGAAAGCCAGGGGAGCAAACGGG